AGUUUUAUAGUCAAUGAUGAUAUGAAAUUGCAAAUUUCAAGGAGUAUAUAAUACUAAGGCUU
rnacentral:tRNA from 1 species